GAGGACUCCAAGGAACAUUCAACGCUGUCGGUGAGUUUGGGAUUUGAAAAAAAACCACUGACCGUUGACUGUACCUUGGGGUCCUU
rnacentral:pre_miRNA from 1 species